rnacentral:tRNA from 2 species
GCCGAUGUAGCUCAACGGUAGAGCACGGCUUUCGUAAAGCCGGGGUUGAGGGUUCGAAUCCCUCCAUCGGCU